rnacentral:rRNA from 1 species
GAUGAACGCUAGCGGGAGGCCUAACACAUGCAAGCCGAGCGGUAGAGUCUCUUCGGAGCCUUGAGAGCGGCGCACGGGUGCGGAACACGUGUGCAACCUGCCUUUAUCUGGGGGAUAGCCUUUCGAAGGGAAGAUUAAUACCCCAUAAUAUACUGGAUGGCAUCAUCUGGUAUUGAAAACUCCGGUGGAUAGAGAUGGGCACGCGCAAGAUUAGAUAGUUGGUGAGGUAACGGCUCACCAAGUCAGCGAUCUUUAGGGGGCCUGAGAGGGUGAUCCCCACACUGGUACUGAGACACGGACCAGACUCCUGCGGGAGGCAGCAGUGAGGAAUAUUGGACAAUGGGUGAGAGCCUGAUCCAGCCAUCCCGCGUGAAGGACGACGGCCCUAUGGGUUGUAAACUUCUUUUGUAUAGGGAUAAACCUAGAUACGUGUAUCUAGCUGAAGGUACUAUACGAAUAAGCACCGGCUAACUCCGUG